GCGUUCCCAUAAACAAGCGCUCACUCCUCUUAGGAAACCUUGCAGAUAAACGUAUAUUUUCUUCGAAACUGCACUCCUUACUGUGAACGUCGCCCUGAACGCCAAUGGGACGGACGAUGGCCUGGUCAGGUACCGAUACAAGGAUAACCCGCCUCCCGCAAGUGAAAGCGGUAGAUGGGUAUCGCAGCGUGGUGCUUUGCCUCUGCCUUCAAUUACUGCUUCGUGGGAUGAAAACAUGAGAUUGUAAUAUAAUAUUGGAACAAGCAAAACGUCGAAGUGGAGUCUCCAGGAUCAACACACCUAUGGUCAACGCUGUUGAGAUAAUCCAAUGAUCAAUGAUCCUAGUCAUCUUGGCCAAGGAAUUCUUCAACAUAUACAUCAUCGUCUUCGUACCCUCACUCAACGCGUCACAUCGGCUACAGCUACGACGAUAUUGAAGCUGACUCCGGCGCUGGAAGUUCACUUGGCAACAAUGGCUGUGCACUAUGGUACCACUACAAAACAAGAGGGAUGCUUGCACUCACGAAAUAUCAACUCCGCACUUUUGUUGUUGCUUCUUGUUACUAUGAAAAAUAAACAGUUCAUUUACCAAGGCAUGUUCGAUCUACAUUCUGAAUUGCAAGCUGCACAGGGGGCAGCUGCAAUGAAGGCUAGGGAAUCUUGUGUAUUCUCACGAUAAAAGAGACGUAUCGCACUUCAGCCAUUGAGAAAUGUAUCCCAGAGGUCGGUUAUAGCAAAAAAAAAAAAAAAAAAACGUAUCACGUCAAAACUGAAAUUGUGCGGUCCUGAAACCAUAAGUUACCUACUUUGAUAAGCAGCCACUUGGUGUACGCAGUGUAUUUGUUGGGUAACGAAAGCAGACCCUCCAUUCCCUUUCUCUCUAAUUGGGCAACGUGGCUUUAUGAUUGUGACCACUUCUUACGUUGCUUUUUU